GAUGAACGCUGGCGGCGUGCCUAAUACAUGCAAGUCGAGCGAACGGACGAGAAGCUUGCUUCUCUGAUGUUAGCGGCGGACGGGUGAGUAACACGUGGAUAACCUACCUAUAAGACUGGGAUAACUUCGGGAAACCGGAGCUAAUACCGGAUAAUAUUUUGAACCGCAUGGUUCAAAAGUGAAAGACGGUCUUGCUGUCACUUAUAGAUGGAUCCGCGCUGCAUUAGCUAGUUGGUAAGGUAACGGCUUACCAAGGCAACGAUGCAUAGCCGACCUGAGAGGGUGAUCGGCCACACUGGAACUGAGACACGGUCCAGACUCCUACGGGAGGCAGCAGUAGGGAAUCUUCCGCAAUGGGCGAAAGCCUGACGGAGCAACGCCGCGUGAGUGAUGAAGGUCUUCGGAUCGUAAAACUCUGUUAUUAGGGAAGAACAUAUGUGUAAGUAACUGUGCACAUCUUGACGGUACCUAAUCAGAAAGCCACGGCUAACUACGUGCCAGCAGCCGCGGUAAUACGUAGGUGGCAAGCGUUAUCCGGAAUUAUUGGGCGUACAGCGCGCGUAGGCGGUUUUUUAAGUCUGAUGUGAAAGCCCACGGCUCAACCGUGGAGGGUCAUUGGAAACUGUUAAACUUGAGUGCAGGAGAGAAAAGUGGAAUUCCUAGUGUAGCGGUGAAAUGCGUAGAGAUUAGGGGGAACACCAGUGGCGAAGGCGGCUUUUUGGCCUGUAACUGACACUGAGGCGCGAAAGCGUGGGGAGCAAACAGGAUUAGAUACCCUGGUAGUCCACGCCGUAAACGAUGAGUGCUAAGUGUUGGUCUCAUAAGAGAUCAGUGCUGCAGCUAACGCAUUAAGCACUCCGCCUGGGGAGUACGACCGCAAGGUUGAAACUCAAAGGAAUUGACGGGGACCCGCACAAGCGGUGGAGCAUGUGGUUUAAUUCGAAGCAACGCGAAGAACCUUACCAAGUCUUGACAUACUGUGAGGACACAAGAGAUUGUGUUGUUCUGACCUUUGGUUAGACACAGAUACAGGUGGUGCAUGGUUGUCGUCAGCUCGUGUCGUGAGAUGUUGGGUUAAGUCCCGCAACGAGCGCAACCCUUAUAUCUAGUUGCCAGCAGUAAGAUGGGGACUCUAGAUAGACUGCCAGUGAUAAACUGGAGGAAGGUGGGGAUGACGUCAAAUCAUCAUGCCCCUUAUGACUUGGGCUACACACGUGCUACAAUGGAUAGGAACAAAGAGAAGCGAGCUCGCGAGAGUAAGCAAACCUCACAAAACUAUUCUCAGUUCGGAUUGUAGUCUGCAACUCGACUACAUGAAGCUGGAAUCGCUAGUAAUCGCGAAUCAGAAUGUCGCGGUGAAUACGUUCCCGGGUCU
rnacentral:rRNA from 1 species